UAUCAACAUUCUGAAACGUUGCGUAUGUGUAACAACAUAAAUACAUACAUGGCUACAUACAAAAAAAAAAAAACAUAUAUUAAUUCAUAAAUAAAGUUUUACAAAUGAGUAGCAUAAGCACACUGCACUGAUCGAAGUCGUGAAUUCAGAUAUUUGUCAGUUAUUUUAUUGCAAUAAAAGCAAUUGAUCGUCAUUAACCUGGAUGAACAGAAUCACUUAUAUUUUCAGAGAGAGAAAAUACUUGCGUUAUUUAAUAUACGUAUGAAUUACUCUGCUGUAAAAUCAUUUUAGAAACAAAUUUAAAAAAAUAAACAACAGUAUAACUAAUUAAAAAAAUACAACCUGCAAAUAAAAAAAAAAUUAAAAAAAACACUGUCAGACAUAAUCAAACAUUCUACACAGAGAGGAAAAAAGGUAUUAGUGUGCUCUGUCAUGUAAUUUCGUGUGUCAUUUUCAUUAUGAAACUAAUGGCCUGUGAGCAUGACUCUUUUGUGAGUUGUUUUUCAUCGCUAUGUAUCUUUUUGUUGAACUGUUAUAAAAUAAUUUGACUAAAAUAUAUUCAGUUACACAAUAGCACUUUUAAUUAUUUUCCAUGUACCGUCCAACAUUUAGGACCGCAUGUUGAUGUGUUGAUGUGAACAAAUGCAUGACAAUCAGAAUAAUAUGCCUGAAAAAAGUUUGAAAUUAAAGUAUGAAUACAUUUUUACAUUCUUUAAUAAUACCUUUUCCUCGUACUGACCUGUGUCACAAAGUAUUCACCGUCAUGAUUACACAGUACACAUUUAAAAAGAGAGAGAAAGGUUUGCCGUUUUGUAGUAUGGUAGUAAUUUACUCUGUUAUGCUGCAUUUUUAUUCUUAUUUUAAAUACUAGAUUGUAGAAUACAACACAAUAUUUAAUUAGAGCCAGCUAGUGUCAUGACAAGAAUGAAUGCAUCCCCCCCUGGAUGAGAAGAUUUUCUUCCGGUCUGAUGUUGCACAUUUACAAUGCAACGUUUCAUGGGGAAUGAAUAAGAGUCCCAUACCCUGUUAAAACAUUCCUCUGUUAUUAGUUUCAAAUGAGUAGCGACGAGACAGAGAGAGGGACGCGGUCCUUGUGUAUUCCAGACUGAAGAAUGGACAAUUCUUACAAAUGGCAGCUGCAUGGAAGUCCAAGGUCAAGGUAAUGACAUCUGGGUGUUUACUGUGCUGACUGGCUGAGACUCGCUGCAGGCUGAAUGAGUACCUGAGGGGUGGCUGGAUGGCGCGGCAGGCCAGUUUAUGAGGAGGGAUGGUAAACAGACAGCAGCGAUGGCCAAAACCAAGGUCCUGCUCUUUGGAUCGAGCAAGUCUGAAGCCAGAGGAAAGAGCCAGCCAAACAGGAAGCAAAUGCACGCUCCCUUUUCACUACAUCAUAAAUGCUCUCUUCAUUCCAGCCAAAUCUGAGCUGUUCCUCAAGAACUUGGACAUUAUAUAAUAAGUCUACUGAUAUAAUUUAUAUCUUAUGCUUACUAAUCUAUUAUUCAGGUAUGUUCUUUCAGGUAUGUGGAUUUCCACAGCAACCUUCCAGUGAAAGCACUACAGUUGAGAUGUUCAUUAAUAUCAUCACCGUAGCAUUCUGAUGCUUUUUCUUUUCCACAGACGGAUUAGUUCUAAAAUAUGAGGGCAAUCAAAAUCCCACAUGACUCAAAACUGGAUCAGAUCCAGUUUCACUUCAUACUUCCUCUCCCAUCCUUGUGAUGUUAAUCAUUGUCCCACAGUUACCAGUGUUCUUUUAUCACACAACACUUUUAUAGGAAGACAUAAUGUUUGGCUGUAAAAAUGUCUCAAACAACAUGCUACAUUUGUAUGCCAACAGAUCCCGAAACCCACAUGAAACUAAUUACAUCAUCCACCAUUCUUAAGUUUUCGUGCAUUCAGAAAGAAAGAAAGAUAGACGGAGAGACAGACAGAUAAAGAGAGGCAGAAAGACAGGUUUGCGACGUUAGCUGAGAUCUUCUUGUUGUGGUAUAUUCUCCUUGGCACUAAAAGUCAUAAAAGGCCUUCAGGUUUUACAAUGUCAUGUCCAAACGCAGCAUCCCCCACGGCUUCUCUUUCCCUUUCUCUCUCUUUUUCUCCUCCCUCCCUCUGAGCUACCUUCACCUCCCCCCAUGCUAUCUUCCUUCAUCAGUCGAAACAGACAAGCAUAUGCUGAAAAGCACUAUGAAUAUUGCUGAAAAGACUGGAAGGAAUUUAGUGGUUUUGUUUUUGUGUGCCAUUGAUUUUUUUGACAGUGGUCAGAAUGUUAUAAUGCAUGUGGUACAGAUCGAACAAUUUCGAAACCGCGUUUGCUACUGAUGUCUUUCCAAGAACACAUCAGAAGUGCCGUUUUAGGCUUAGGGUGCCAGUGCAAGUCCAUUUUAGAGUUAUUUUGCUGCUUUUGAACACUUAUUGUUUCAAAAUAAGCAUUUUUAUUUUUAUCUGUAUAAGUACAGAUAAAAAAAUCUUCAAUGACUUCAAAAAAAAUAAGUGUCAAACAUUGUGAAAGUCAUUCCUUUCUUUAAAGCUGACAUUCUGAUUUAUUGUCGGCCUUUCAAAACAAAAGACUCAGAGGUGACCAAUAAAUCCGUCCGUACUUUGCUUCCUCAAGCUAUUUGUCCUCUUGAGGUGUAAAACACUCUGAGGCAAGCCCUACUUGAACCAGAGCUGUGAACAUAUAGCGUCCACCAAUUAUCCUGUCUGUCUGCUCCUCUGCUAAUUAUGGCUUGCUUGCUGUGUUUGUGCGCAAGUGUGUCUCUUAUGGACAGACGGGGGCUAAUAACACCAUAUUUUUUGAAAAGACAGAAGGCCUCUGGCCAUCGCUUUCAACACACAUGCCACACAGGCAGUCCCACCCACAGCACUCAGACCUGUCAUUGACGGCCAUCCCCUUUCCCACUCUUAGACUCUCGGCAGCUGUGGCCUAGCGUGACAGAAAAGUGCAACAAAUUACUUUGCUACCGCUUCUGAGGGCAAAUGUCAAAUAUCCCUCCAUAUUUACCAGAAUGGAGUCGUGCACAGGCACUUACACAAGGAUGGGUAUUUUCUGUGCGGGGUGUGGAUGUCAUGUCAGCGAGAGAGAGAGAGAGAGAGAGAGAGAGAGAGAGAGAGAGAAAAAAACUGGUUUCCUUUUCUGGAUGCCAUCCAGGUCUGUGCACAGUACCAGGCAGCUGUCAGUAGGAUUGAUGAGCCCAGCUGGUGAAGAUGUGCUGGGUGUCAGCAGGGCAGCAGAUUUUAGCGGGGCCAGAGAGCAUUCGCCGCAUGAGUUAGGUGUGAUCUGAAGAGGACGUGAUUUAGAGUGCUACGACCGGGCAGGUGAGAUGACUGCGCGGCAGAUACUUUGCUGGUGAAUCAGCCGAAAGUCAUUUCAAGAAGUGGGGGGAGUGUGCAACGGUGAGCAGAGGUCAGGUUGUGCACUUGUGCGUAAAUACAAGACAUUGCUGGAGGUGCAAAAGCUCCGUGCAGAUGUCCAAAUAAAUGGUAAAUCAUUGCGGGUGCUCAAAUGCUUUUUGCACUGAAUGUGUCUGCCAGCCCAGGGGCUAGCGAAUGACUAAAACAUUAGCAGGAAUCCUCAGGGCCCUCACGCCCUCUCCCAUCCCCCUCCGCGUUAGGCCUGUGCAAACACACACAUGCACACUGACCAAAAUGGUGCCCAUUCACAUGCACACUUUAAAACAUCAUGGCCUCUCUCCGGCUGGGGAAUGCGUAUCCGUGCGUUGCUUCGCUCGUAUACACAAAGUGUCUAUUUAGGUGUGUGUCCUCAUUCCAAGAGCUGUAAAGAUGCCAUUGGCAUCUCGGCCCAGAACACUGAAUCGAGUUACAGGUGUUCCUUUUAACACAGUUGCACUGAAAAAAAAAAAAAAAAAAACAUUUUAUGACCAAGCUAGUAUGGAGGCCUGGGGAACCAGAAGUGACACAGACCCACAAAACAAGUUAAAACCACGUACCUAAGAUCAUAGACACCAAACACACACACGCACACACACACAGAGAGAGAGAGAGAGAGAGAGAGAGAGAAAGAUGCCUUUAGAGUAAAGUAAAAAUCUCUCAUAUAAUUCACAACAUAUCAUUCUCUUGAAAUGUUGGUCAGAAAUUUUAAUGUGUAUAAAUGGUGCGUGUAAAUCAUCUUGUUUUAUGAGGUAAACAUUCUUCAUUUCUUCAUACUGCAUAACUAGUCUUUCACUAGUUUAAAGUGAGCAGUUCGCUCUCCUUACCCUUCUUUUUACAGCGUGGUUGAAAAUGAAAAUAAAGCCACAAUGAAUCUCUCUAUAUUUUUAACACAGACAUUUGCAUUUUAAAGGGCGUCGUGAUGAGUUAACUUAACAGUUCCUAUGUACAGUUACAUUAUUGCCUCUAAUAAUUAUCAGUGAUAAACUGCCUGAACAUUAAAAAGAAAUACAAAUCCAUUCACAUUUUUAUGGCUGGAAAAAUUAUAGCGUGACAUUUGAGAGUCAUUGAGCUGCAGCUUACGGGCUUAUUUUGGAAAGUCAAAGACAUCUCAAAUGCUUUGGCAGUUUGUAAUUUGGCCGCGGUUUGGGAUGGCUUCAGUAAGAUGGCCUCGACAAAGUCCUUUUUAUUUAACACAAACUCUUAAAUGAUAAAUGUUGGGAGUAAUACCUUGUUAAAGGCCUAUAAGUUGACAUGAACCAUGGAUAUAAGUAUUUAUAGUCUCAAAGAGUUGAGAGACAAAAGAGUAUCAUUUGCAACAUGGAUCAUUUCAUUCACAAAUGUCGGUGUCCAGCUAGGAAUUCAAAACUUUAAGACUCAUAAACAGAAGAAAUAAAUAUUUUAUAUUAUCAUUAUUACUACCACCACCACUUCUACUACUAUAUCUGCUUUUAUCACAACUAUUACUUUUACUACUACUAUUAAUAAUAAUAAAUACAAUUUAACAACUGUAAAAUAUACUUCUCAAAAUACAUUCCUGUAGAUACACACACUGAAAGAGUUGCACUAGAACUGCAUUCGUGUUUUGUGUAUGUUUAACCGCCCUCUGGCGGCAUAAUGAAGUAUCGCAGCACACCGCCCUUCCCCCAAACGUCCACAGCGGUGGUUGGUUCAACAACCCUAUUCCUGAAGGCCCCCCCAGCAGUACAGAUUCUUCUUCCUAGUCAAACAUAAUUUAAUUUAUUUAUCAGCUUGUUAGCAGAGACUCAAAGACCCAAAUACUAUGUGUACAGUUAGAGAAUGGAGACAUCCAAACUGUGUAAUGUUGGGAGCAGCAAUGUUGACAUGUCAGCUGUUUGACAAUCUUUUGGCAUUAUUUUACUCAACAGUUAUAAUUAAAUCUAAUUAGUUUGGAUGCAAAAGGUUCAGCACUUAAUGUUUCAGAAUUUCAUGUUCCUGCAUGUCAGACAUUUUCUUGCAUUAAUUCUUUUCACAGUUUAAAGGUUUUUGAUUACAUUUUUUUUUUUAGCACUUCAGUCAAUUAUUAUGUUACAGUUUAUUUGUGCUAGCCAUGUGCUAAUGAAGCUAAUAUAUUAACUCAAAUAAUAAAUAUUUCAUCAAUUAGUGGUGUUAAA